rnacentral:rRNA from 1 species
CCAUAUGCAUGCCCUUGAUACUGUAGUUCUUGAGUGUUGUCGAGGGUGGCGGGAAUGUGCAGUGUAGCGGUGAAAUGCUUAGAUAUUGCACAGAACACCGAUAGCGAAGGCAGCUGCCCAGCCAACAACUGACGCUGAUGCACGAAAGCGUGGGGAUCGAACAGGAUUAGAUACCCUGGUAGUCCACGCCGUAAACGAUGAUGACUAGCUGUAUGCGGCAGACAGUAUGCGGCUAAGCGAAAGCGAUAAGUCAUCCACCUGGGGAGUACGACGGCAACGUUGAAACUCAAAGGAAUUGACGGGGGCCCGCACAAGCGGAGGAACAUGUGGUUUAAUUCGAUGAUACGCGAGGAACCUUACCUGGACUUGAACGGAUAGCGACCGGGGGAGAGAUCCCCCCUCCAGCAAUGGCGCUUACCGAGGUGCUGCAUGGCUGUCGUCAGCUCGUGCCGUGAGGUGUCGGGUUAAGUCCCAUAACGAGCGCAACCCCUAUCGUUAGUUGCCAGCGGGUGAUGCCGGGGACUCUAGCGAGACUGCCGCCGUAAGGUGCGAGGAAGGCGGGGAUGACGUCAAGUCAGCACGGCCCUUACGUCCAGGGCUACACACGUGUUACAAUGGCCGGUACAGCGGGGAGCAGGGCAGCGAUGCAAGGCGGAUCCCGAAAGCCGGUCCUAGUUCGGAUCGGAGUCUGCAACUCGACUCCGUGAAGCUGGAUUCGCUAGUAAUCGCAUAUCAGCAACGAUGCGGUGAAUACGUUCCCGGGCCUUGUACACACCGCCCGUCAAGCCAUGGGAGCCGGGGGUGCCUGAAGUGCGUGACCGCAAGGAUCGCCCUAGGGUAAUACUGGUGACUGGGGCUAAGUCGUAACAAGGUAAC